rnacentral:rRNA from 1 species
AACGAACGCUGGCGGCAUGCCUAACACAUGCAAGUCGAACGAAAACUCCCGGUCUAGUGGCGCACGGGUUCGUAACGCGUGGGAACCUGCCCUCAGGGUUGGUAUAACUUCCCGAAAGGGGUGCUAAUACCGGACAAUGUCUUCGACCCAAAGUUUUUUCGCCUUUGGAUGGCCUCGCGUUGGAUUUACUAGUUGGUAGGGAAAAAGCAUACCAAGCCGAGGAUCGAUGGAUGGUCUGAGAGGAUGAUCAGCCACACUGGGACUGAGACACGGCCCAGCCUCCAACAUGCGGCAGCGGGGGGGAAUAAUAGACAAGGGGCGAAGGGCUGAACCAACACUGCCGCGUGAGAGAUGAAGUCCUUAAGGUUGUAAAGCUCAUUUAUCCGGGAUGAUAAUGACAGUACCGGGAUAAUAAGCUCCGGCUAACUCCGUG